GGGUUGUGAGGUUAAGCGACUAAGCGUACACGGUGGAUGCCCUGGCAGUCAGAGGCGAUGAAGGACGUGCUAAUCUGCGAUAAGCGUCGGUGAGGUGAUAUGAACCGUUAUAACCGGCGAUUUCCGAAUGGGGAAACCCAGUGUGUUUCGACACACUAUCAUUAACUGAAUCCAUAGGUUAAUGAGGCGAACCGGGGGAACUGAAACAUCUAAGUACCCCGAGGAAAAGAAAUCAACCGAGAUUCCCCCAGUAGCGGCGAGCGAACGGGGAGGAGCCCAGAGCCUGAAUCAGUGUGUGUGUUAGUGGAAGCGUCUGGAAAGGCGCGCGAUACAGGGUGACAGCCCCGUACACAAAAAUGCACAUAUUGUGAGCUCGAUGAGUAGGGCGGGACACGUGGUAUCCUGUCUGAAUAUGGGGGGACCAUCCUCCAAGGCUAAAUACUCCUGACUGACCGAUAGUGAACCAGUACCGUGAGGGAAAGGCGAAAAGAACCCCGGCGAGGGGAGUGAAAAAGAACCUGAAACCGUGUACGUACAAGCAGUGGGAGCCUCUUUAUGGGGUGACUGCGUACCUUUUGUAUAAUGGGUCAGCGACUUAUAUUCUGUAGCAAGGUUAACCGAAUAGGGGAGCCGAAGGGAAACCGAGUCUUAACUGGGCGUUAAGUUGCAGGGUAUAGACCCGAAACCCGGUGAUCUAGCCAUGGGCAGGUUGAAGGUUGGGUAACACUAACUGGAGGACCGAACCGACUAAUGUUGAAAAAUUAGCGGAUGACUUGUGGCUGGGGGUGAAAGGCCAAUCAAACCGGGAGAUAGCUGGUUCUCCCCGAAAGCUAUUUAGGUAGCGCCUCGUGAAUUCAUCUCCGGGGGUAGAGCACUGUUUCGGCAAGGGGGUCAUCCCGACUUACCAACCCGAUGCAAACUGCGAAUACCGGAGAAUGUUAUCACGGGAGACACACGGCGGGUGCUAACGUCCGUCGUGAAGAGGGAAACAACCCAGACCGCCAGCUAAGGUCCCAAAGUCAUGGUUAAGUGGGAAACGAUGUGGGAAGGCCCAGACAGCCAGGAUGUUGGCUUAGAAGCAGCCAUCAUUUAAAGAAAGCGUAAUAGCUCACUGGUCGAGUCGGCCUGCGCGGAAGAUGUAACGGGGCUAAACCAUGCACCGAAGCUGCGGCAGCGACACUAUGUGUUGUUGGGUAGGGGAGCGUUCUGUAAGCCUGUGAAGGUGGCCUGUGAGGGUUGCUGGAGGUAUCAGAAGUGCGAAUGCUGACAUAAGUAACGAUAAAGCGGGUGAAAAGCCCGCUCGCCGGAAGACCAAGGGUUCCUGUCCAACGUUAAUCGGGGCAGGGUGAGUCGACCCCUAAGGCGAGGCCGAAAGGCGUAGUCGAUGGGAAACAGGUUAAUAUUCCUGUACUUGGUGUUACUGCGAAGGGGGGACGGAGAAGGCUAUGUUGGCCGGGCGACGGUUGUCCCGGUUUAAGCGUGUAGGCUGGUUUUCCAGGCAAAUCCGGAAAACCAAGGCUGAGGCGUGAUGACGAGGCACUACGGUGCUGAAGCGACAAAUGCCCUGCUUCCAGGAAAAGCCUCUAAGCAUCAGGUAACAUCAAAUCGUACCCCAAACCGACACAGGUGGUCAGGUAGAGAAUACCAAGGCGCUUGAGAGAACUCGGGUGAAGGAACUAGGCAAAAUGGUGCCGUAACUUCGGGAGAAGGCACGCUGAUAUGUAGGUGAAGCGACUUGCUCGUGGAGCUGAAAUCAGUCGAAGAUACCAGCUGGCUGCAACUGUUUAUUAAAAACACAGCACUGUGCAAACACGAAAGUGGACGUAUACGGUGUGACGCCUGCCCGGUGCCGGAAGGUUAAUUGAUGGGGUUAGCGGUAACGCGAAGCUCUUGAUCGAAGCCCCGGUAAACGGCGGCCGUAACUAUAACGGUCCUAAGGUAGCGAAAUUCCUUGUCGGGUAAGUUCCGACCUGCACGAAUGGCGUAAUGAUGGCCAGGCUGUCUCCACCCGAGACUCAGUGAAAUUGAACUCGCUGUGAAGAUGCAGUGUACCCGCGGCAAGACGGAAAGACCCCGUGAACCUUUACUAUAGCUUGACACUGAACAUUGAGCCUUGAUGUGUAGGAUAGGUGGGAGGCUUUGAAGUGUGGACGCCAGUCUGCAUGGAGCCGACCUUGAAAUACCACCCUUUAAUGUUUGAUGUUCUAACGUUGGCCCGUAAUCCGGGUUGCGGACAGUGUCUGGUGGGUAGUUUGACUGGGGCGGUCUCCUCCUAAAGAGUAACGGAGGAGCACGAAGGUUGGCUAAUCCUGGUCGGACAUCAGGAGGUUAGUGCAAUGGCAUAAGCCAGCUUGACUGCGAGCGUGACGGCGCGAGCAGGUGCGAAAGCAGGUCAUAGUGAUCCGGUGGUUCUGAAUGGAAGGGCCAUCGCUCAACGGAUAAAAGGUACUCCGGGGAUAACAGGCUGAUACCGCCCAAGAGUUCAUAUCGACGGCGGUGUUUGGCACCUCGAUGUCGGCUCAUCACAUCCUGGGGCUGAAGUAGGUCCCAAGGGUAUGGCUGUUCGCCAUUUAAAGUGGUACGCGAGCUGGGUUUAGAACGUCGUGAGACAGUUCGGUCCCUAUCUGCCGUGGGCGCUGGAGAACUGAGGGGGGCUGCUCCUAGUACGAGAGGACCGGAGUGGACGCAUCACUGGUGUUCGGGUUGUCAUGCCAAUGGCACUGCCCGGUAGCUAAAUGCGGAAGAGAUAAGUGCUGAAAGCAUCUAAGCACGAAACUUGCCCCGAGAUGAGUUCUCCCUGACUCCUUGAGAGUCCUGAAGGAACGUUGAAGACGACGACGUUGAUAGGCCGGGUGUGUAAGCGCAGCGAUGCGUUGAGCUAACCGGUACUAAUGAACCGUGAGGCUUAACCUUACAACGCCGAAGCUGUU
rnacentral:rRNA from 1 species